rnacentral:rRNA from 1 species
UACGAAGGGGGCUAGCGUUGCUCGGAAUCACUGGGCGUAAAGCGCACGUAGGCGGCUUUUUAAGUCAGGGGUGAAAUCCUGGAGCUCAACUCCAGAACUGCCUUCGAUACUGGCGAUCUCGAGUUCGGGAGAGGUGAGUGGAACUGCGAGUGUAGAGGUGAAAUUCGUAGAUAUUCGCAAGAACACCAGUGGCGAAGGCGGCUCACUGGCCCGGUACUGACGCUGAGGUGCGAAAGCGUGGGGAGCAAACAGG